AGACUGACCUUCAACCCCACAG
rnacentral:miRNA from 1 species